AUGAAGAGCGGUAAGCCCUCUGCAGGUUGUUCUAGAUGUUUCCUUCCGUAUGGUUGGUAAGAGUCUAGGCGCUAAAAGCUUGCAAGGCACGCUCUUCUU
rnacentral:sRNA from 1 species